rnacentral:rRNA from 1 species
UCGCCCAAGAGAUCGGGAUAACACCUGGAAACAGAUGCUAAUACCGGAUAACAACAGAUGAUGCCUAUCAACUGUUUAAAAGAUGGUUCUGCUAUCACUCUUGGAUGGACCUGCGGUGCAUUAGCUAGUUGGUAGGGUAACGGCCUACCAAGGCGAUGAUGCAUAGCCGAGUUGAGAGACUGAUCGGCCACAUUGGGACUGAGACACGGCCCAAACUCCUACGGGAGGCAGCAGAC